UGGGGAAUAUUGGACAAUGGGCGCAAGCCUGAUCCAGCCAUGCCGCGUGAGUGAUGAAGGCCCUAGGGUUGUAAAGCUCUUUCACCGGUGAAGAUAAUGACGGUAACCGGAGAAGAAGCCCCGGCUAACUUCGUGCCAGCAGCCGCGGUAAUACGAAGGGGGCUAGCGUUGUUCGGAUUUACUGGGCGUAAAGCGCACGUAGGCGGACUUUUAAGUCAGGGGUGAAAUCCCGGGGCUCAACCCCGGAACUGCCUUUGAUACUGGAAGUCUUGAGUAUGGUAGGGGUGAGUGGAAUUCCGAGGGUAGAGGUGAAAUUCGUAGAUAUUCGGAGGAACACCAGUGGCGAAGGCGGCUCACUGGACCAUUACUGACGCUGAGGUGCGAAAGCGUGGGGAGCAAACAGG
rnacentral:rRNA from 1 species